ACAGAAGACGAAGAGCUGGAAUAGAGCUCGCCUCGGCUCUGCUGGCCUUGGCUGCAGCUCUUCCAGAAACCCGGGGCGCCCACAGAAGAAUCUCUUACCUGGCUCUCUCUUCAGGGAUGACAUCAUCGGCUCACACCAGUCUUCCAGGACCACCUUCUGGAUGCCAAGGCUGCUGCUCGAGUACCUGCUGUGCACCUCUACCUCCUGGUACCCCAGCCACUCCCUCAAGUUGCCUGCAUGUUAUAUGGCCUAGCCAAGGAGCACGGAUUCCAGGAACCCACUACCAUACAGAGCAACUCCUUGUGGACCCCCCUGGGAUCAGGACAGCGAGGGACAAGCGACAAAGAGGAUCAUCAGUGGCCAGCUAGUUUCUCUGGGGUUCAAACCUUGAACCAGUGCCCUAGUGAGGGGGCACUGGCCAUGGCCCUUGACCUUUGCUCUGCUUGUGUCUUGAGUCUGAGCCCUUUCCUGUACAUCUGUGCUCGUGUUCAUCUGCUAGUGAACUGGAGUGCUGCCCUCCCCGAGGAGGGUCGUCCCUUGUGACUGAUCAUGCUGUCCUAACAAUGUCCUGAGCAAAAGGGUCCCUUUGGGAACCUCUCAGGAGGGGGACCCGGGUCAGGGGCGACCAGCAUCUUGCUGGCAACUCCGUGGGUGGGGUGGGGUGGGGUGCUUCCUUCUGGAAUGAGCACGUGGCUGACCCCCCAAGGCAUGUCCCCUCCCCCUCCUCCACCCACCUUCUCGGAGAUGUCCCUUUUGGGGUAGUGGGGACAUUAGGAGCAACCUCCUAGGGUUGUUGUGAGAAUUAAAUGAACUGCAGCAGCCUGAGGCAGGGCUGGGCAGAGACCUCAGCACAUGUUUGUUGAAAGGUUUGCAGGUGGAUCUAGUCCUCCCGUUCAUGGCUCAUGUGUCUCAACCAUUCUCUCGCAGACUCCUGCAGCCCCUAUGCCCAGGGCUCUCCUUGCGCCAGAGGUAGGUGGGAAAGAGAACUGGGAGAGCCCGGACUCACUCAUGAGAUUGAACUUAAAUUCACACGGAGGACACUUGGACUCUUGCCACAUUAGCCCCGGCUUCUCGAGGCCUGUCUACACUCGCUGCUUUCCUUCCUCACCUCCAAUUUCCCCUCCAACCCACUGCUUCCUGACUCGCUCUUCUCCAUCGAACGGCUCUCGCUCAGGUUUAAGGCUUGGCUUGCUGGCCCUGGAGAUCCCGUCGCCGUCUUCGUCGAACUCGAAAUCCUAGCCAUCGUCCUUCCCUGGCCUGUCGCGUCUUCCUGUGCCAUUUGCUGUUGUGCUCAGGUUCCACGAGCUGCCCAUCUCCACAGAAGAGCAGCUGGCAUUGCCCACCGGCCAUGCCGGCUGAAGAAAAGAAGACUGAGGACCCCAGGAUGCCCAGCGCGAGGACCCCAGGAAGCCCAGCGCGAGGACUCCACCCACGACGCCCAGCGCGAGGACUUCACGCACAACACGUUGCAACCCUCCUGGAUUAGGCCAAAGCCAUCAUCUGGAAUCCUGCGUGGGACCCUGGACACACGGACACAGACACCUGCCCCCAGGACCCUCCAACUGUAAAUCGAUUGGAAGCGCCCUUGUGAGCUGGGGCCUUCAAAGGGCUGAGGAGAAAAUGCAGGCCGAGAGACCAGCUUCUCAAAUAGGCUUCAAGCCUCCAUGACCUGAGCUCACCCCCUGGAAAUGUCUGGAAAACAUAAUGGGCAGGUUUUCUGUCUUCAAAGUUUCCAUCAAAACCUCUUCAAGUUCUUUAUUGUUUAGGACUGAGACACUUGGGGACAGUAAUGGGGACUUUCUUUUGUAUCUGUCUUGAAAGGCCAAAAUAUUUUUAUAUUGCUGUAGACAAAGCCACCUAUUUACAAAUGGACUCUUGUUCCGUCGUUUCCCACCAGGAAGACCGUACUAUGUUUGUGUCUCUAUGUAUUCUGGGGUCUUGAAACAGGUUUCUCAUGGGGAUGGCCAUUCACUAGAGCCCAGAGGGGCAGAAGGGGAAGUGUCUACCCUGCCAAGGGGGUCUGGGGAAGGAGGGGGGCUAGUCUCAGAUUUGCUCCUUGUAUGUCUAGGGUAAACCCUGGGAGAAUCUGGUGGUAAAAGAACAUAUGCUGUGUUUGCCCCA
rnacentral:lncRNA from 1 species